rnacentral:rRNA from 1 species
CAGCCGCCGCGGUAAUACGUAGGGUGCAAGCGUUGUCCGGAAUCAUUGGGCGUAAAGCGCGCGUAGGCGGCCCGAUAAGUCCGCUGUAAAAGUCAACGGCUCAACUGUUGAAAGCCGGUGGAUACUGUCGGGCUAGAGUACGGAAGAGGCAAGUGGAAUUCCUGGUGUAGCGGUGGAAUGCGCAGAUAUCAGGAGGAACACCUAUAGCGAAGGCAGCUUGCUGGGACGUUACUGACGCUAAGGCGCGAAAGCGUGGGGAGCGAACAGGAUUAGAUACCCUGGUAGUCCACGCCGUAAACGAUGAGAACUAGGUGUGGGAGGUGUCGACUCCUCCCGUGCCGUCGCUAACGCAUUAAGUUCUCCGCCUGGGGAGUACGGCCGCAAGGCUAAAACUCAAAGGAAUUGACGG